rnacentral:rRNA from 1 species
UACGUAGGGGUCGAGCGUUGUCCGGACUUACUGGGCGUAAAGCGUGGGUAGGUGGUCGGUGAUGUGCCGUGUGAAAGCCCCGCGUUCAUCGGGGGGAGGUCGCGGUAGACACAUCGACUUGAGGCAUGCAGAGGGCAGUGGAAUUCCUGGUGUAGCGGUGAAAUGCGCAGAUAUCAGGAGGAACACCGGUGGCGAAGGCGGGUCUCUGGGCCGAUACUGACGCUGAGGAGCGAAAGCGUGGGGAGCGAACAGG